AAGCAGAGGUAUCAACCAGUGCGGCCCUUGAGGACUGGAGUUUGACACCCCUGUCACUAGAGGACCCAAAUUUGGGUUAAUCUGGAACAAGGAA